GCCACGCUGUGUUUACAAGUAAUCUAGAAUCUAGAACGAUCAGUGAGAAUCUGAAAUUCUAUCCCGUUUUGCUUGGAACUGGUUCUCGCCGACACGCAUCCUCGAGGUUUGGCCGCGUGGAUCAUACUGAAGGCGCGACGACUCGGUAGAGGUAGCGUUGCCUUACGUCCUGGGGUGGGAGAAAGACAGAGAGAGGGACCGGGAUGCGCGCCAAAACUUGUUCGCUCAGCUUCAAUGGAUAUUUCACUCUAAGGUUCGCAAUAUCAUCAUGGAUAAAUGUCUGUAUAUCAGAAUUUAUAUCGCAGGCUUGUUUG